CAGUCGAGGGGCAGCAUGGUCUUAGCUUGCUAAGGCCGAUGGCGACCGGCGCACGGGUGAGUAACACGUAUCCAACCUGCCGUCUACUCUUGGACAGCCUUCUGAAAGGAAGAUUAAUACAAGAUGGCAUCAUGAGUCCGCAUGUUCACAUGAUUAAAGGUAUUCCGGUAGACGAUGGGGAUGCGUUCCAUUAGAUAGUAGGCGGGGUAACGGCCCACCUAGUCUUCGAUGGAUAGGGGUUCUGAGAGGAAGGUCCCCCACAUUGGAACUGAGACACGGUCCAAACUCCUACGGGAGGCAGCAGUGAGGAAUAUUGGUCAAUGGGCGAGAGCCUGAACCAGCCAAGUAGCGUGAAGGAUGACUGCCCUAUGGGUUGUAAACUUCUUUUAUAAAGGAAUAAAGUCGGGUAUGGAUACCCGUUUGCAUGUACUUUAUGAAUAAGGAUCGGCUAACUCCGUGCCAGCAGCCGCGGUAAUACGGAGGAUCCGAGCGUUAUCCGGAUUUAUUGGGUUUAAAGGGAGCGUAGAUGGAUGUUUAAGUCAGUUGUGAAAGUUUGCGGCUCAACCGUAAAAUUGCAGUUGAUACUGGAUAUCUUGAGUGCAG
rnacentral:rRNA from 1 species